rnacentral:lncRNA from 1 species
CUAAGACAAUAUAUAACACCCGAAAGCCUACUUAAUUUUUUUUUUAAAUACUUCUAUGUAUAACAAUAAAACUCUUUACACAUCCAAUAUGUUCUUUAAAACACUAAGUGAAGUUCUAAAGAAAGUAUAAGACAUUUUAAAAAUAGAUGUAGGUAAUGAGUUCAACGAAAAAAAGGCUUUCUUUUCCAAGUUCUCUCGGCGCAUGUUAAGCAAACGUGCGCCGUCUUCGCCAUGACUAGUAAGAAAGCUCGUGGAUGUCCUAGAAAGUAGCAAAUUCGUGUAGAUGACAAAAUACUUAAGCUCAACGCCAUGGAAAGGAGCUCAACAAAGUUUAUGGAAACCAUUUCUGGACCAUCGAAGGUGACUACUGGAUCUGUUUCUCUAACACAAAUCUACCAUGGAGAAGCUUCAGGACCAGCUACACAGCAGCAGAAACAAGCAAAUCAGAGUCCAAUCCCUAUGCAUGUUGAUUUACGAGGAAGUAUCACACCCCCUGCAGUUCGAGAAGUUACUGUUCCAUUGAGCAAAGAGUAGGAAGAUACAGCUAAUGCACAAGCUGGAAUUACUGUUCCAUUGGUGAACAAGGGGCAAAACCAAGUUGUUUCCACAGAGUCUACUUAGGCUAAAGUACUCACAGGCAAUAGAUCUGCAGCAAAUGGUAUGACAUUGAAUUAUAUUACUCCUGAUAUUAUAGAAGGAAAUCUAGUAGCUAAGCUUGAAAAGUCAAAAUUGAGCUGGAAAAUCUGAAAUGGAAGAGUGCCUUAAUAGUCUAUGUUUUGGGUGAAAAACCAGGCUACAACUAUAUGAAAAGGUACAUAAAUCAUAUGUGGAACACAGUUGCUAUGCCAGAUUUGUUUUAUUAUGAUGAAGGGUAUUAUAUUGUGAGAUUUCAAACAUUAGAGGAUACAGUGAAUAAUAGACCAAUGAUAAUGAAAUGCUGGUCUCCUUACUUUGAUUUUGCAGCAGAAUUCAUGACAGACAUUCCAUUAUGGGUAAGGUUUCCAAAACUUCCCAUGAAUUGUGGAGUGAGAACUCACUGAGUAGAAUAGCAAGCACAAUAGGGAUUCCUGUGUUUGCAGAUGAGUGUACUACCAAAUAGAUAAGAAUUUCCUAUGCUAGAAUCCUAAUAGAAGUGAAUGUUACAAAGCCUUUUCCAACUAGCAUUCCCGUCAUGAAUGACGAGGGGUGAUUUUUGAGCAAGCAUUUAAAUUUGAUUGGAAACCGGAGUUCUGUGACAAAUGCUUAAAAGCAGGACAUAAUUGUAGUAGAAUUCCAAAGGAAGGUGACAAACAAAUUCCCCAGCCCAGGAAAAGGAAGCCACCACCAGUAAAACAAAUAUGGAGGACUAAGGUGCCAGAAAUAGUUACAACUGAUGAAAUGAGCCAAAAACAAGUGGAAGAAGCUAGCAAGGAAGAUGUGAGUACCUCUAAGCCAACAGAAGAUAAGGAAGAUCAUCAGCAAGAAGAGGAAGCAGUAGAAGUAAGCAUGCAAGUAGAUAAAGGGAAAAUGAAUGCAGUGACUAAUGACACUCCAAUUACCUAUGCCAAAGCUAUAAUGUCUCCAGUGAAAUAAAGAUCUCAAACAUUCCCGAGUGCAGCUGUGAUAGCAACCUUGAAACCACCUAAUAUAGGUGGUCAUUCUCAAUUUUGAUUAUGUCUUGGAUGGAAUGGAACAUAAGGGGUACCAACAAGAGAUACAAACAAAAGGAGUUGGGUAUCUAUAUAAAGGAGAAUAAUAUAAAGCUAUUGGGGUUAGUGGAAACUAGAGUAAAGAAGGAAAAAACAACUCAGAUUUCACAGUUAGUGGCACCUGGUUGGCAAGCUCACUACAAAUAUGAUUAUGCAAUAAAUGGGAGAAUUUGGAUUCUUUGGGAUCCUCAGAGUUAUGCCAUUACAGUUUUAGAAAAAUCUGCUCAAAUAAUUCAUUAUAAAGUUGUAGGCAGACAGAAUACUAUAAAUUAUCUUAUGACAAUAGUGUAUGGAUUUAAUACUACUGAAGCAAGGAAACCUUUAUGGCAACAACUAAAUGUUGAUGCAACUCAGAAUACUGAACCAUGGAUCAUCUGGGGGGACUUUAACUCUAUCUUAAUAAUUCAAGAUAGAAUUUGUGGGAAAUAGUUACAAGAAAUGAAAUACAAGACUUUAAUGAAUGUAUGUAGACUCUGAAUUCGAAUGAAUUGGCUUGGAGAGGAGAUUAUUAUACAUGGUCGAAUAAACAGCAAGGAGCAGAUAGAGUAUAUAGCAGGAUUGAUAGAGCUUUAGGGAAUGAUUAAUGGAUGCAAGCUUAUGAACAUAUGGAAGUAGAAUAUAGACUUCCAUUCAUUUCAGAUCAUGCUCCAAUGGUUAUCUCUAUAAGAAGACUAGUACCAAGUGGCAAGAUUCCUUUUAGAUUUUUUAAUGUUUGGGUAGAACAUCCAAGCUUUAUGUCACUUGUGGAAGGAGUAUGGAAAGAACAAUAUGAUCAUGACCCUACGAAGAAUAUAUGGCAGAAGUUGAAGAUUCUAAGAUCUUUAUUGAAGCAGCUCAACAACAGCGAAUUCAAGGGCAUCACAGAUAAGCUGGAAUCAACAAGGAGUUUACUACAGGCUAUUCAAGCUCAAAUAUCAAAAGGUUAUUCAGGCAAACUAGCUAUUGAGGAAAAACAAGCCUUAGAGAACUUGGAGAAAUGGUCAUUAAUUGAAGAAAGCAUACUGCAACAGAAGGCUCGAGCUAUAUGGAUAAGAUUAGGGGAUGCUAAUUCUAAAUAUUUCUCAGCAGUUAUGAAGGAAAGAAGGCAAAGAAAAGUUAUCACUGAACUACAAGAUAGCUUUGGAAACAAAAUAACUGACCAACAACAUAUACAAGCAAAGAUCAUCAGUUUCUACAAAGCUUUGAUGGGGGCAACAGUUGGGAAUUUACCU